AAUCAGAGUUAACAUUUUCGGUCUGGUGACCCUCCUUCUGAUUUCUCUCCACAGAUACUGCCAGACCUGCAGAGUUUUAGCAGCAGUUUGUUUUUGAUGCUACCAAGUUUGUUGAUUAAGGCCAUUACAGCUGAGCAUGAUACUUUCUUCACCAGAUGUCAAUGUCCACAAACUCUGCACCACAAGGCACUGAUUAGCAAAUGUCCUAAUGGAGUGAAGGACCCCCUAUUGUUCGACCAUAUCGGAGUGUGACCUGACGAUUGCAGCCUUUAAGAGAUGACCCAGUCUCGCAUCACAGCAUGAUUGCUCUUUUUUUAAAAAAAAGCUUGAAUCAUAAGUGAAAAAUGUAUUAAAAUGUAUUAUCUGCAAUAAAAGUUUUAUACAUUUUGUCACAACC